UGAGGAAUAUUGGUCAAUGGGCGAGAGCCUGAACCAGCCAAGUCGCGUGAAGGAAGAAGGAUCUAUGGUUCGUAAACUUCUUUUGCAGGGGAAUAAAGUGCAGGACGUGUCCUGUUUUGUAUGUACCCUGAGAAUAAGGAUCGGCUAACUCCGUGCCAGAAGACGCGGUAAUACGGAGGAUCCGAGCGUUAUACGGAGUUAUUGGGUUGAAAGGGUGCGUAGGUGGUUUAAUAAGUCAGCGGUGAAAGUUUGCAGCUUAACUGUAAAAAUGCCGUUGAAACUGUUAGACUUGAG
rnacentral:rRNA from 1 species